GGCGAGCGAAGCGGGNNNAGCUCAAAUUUAUAAUCUGGCACCUUCGGUGUCCGAGUUGUAAUCUCUAGAAGUGUUUUCCGCGUUGGACCGCACACAAGUCUGUUGGAAUACAGCGGCAUAGUGGUGAAACCCCCGUAUAUGGUGCGGACGCCCAGCGCUUUGUGAUACACUUUCAAUGAGUCGAGUUGUUUGGGAAUGCAGCUCAAAUUGGGUGGUAAAUUCCAUCUAAAGCUAAAUAUUGGCGAGAGACCGAUAGCGAACAAGUACCGUGAGGGAAAGAUGAAAAGCACUUUGGAAAGAGAGUUAACAGUACGUGAAAUUGUUGGAAGGGAAACGCUUGAAGUCAGACUUGCUUGCCGGAGCUUGCUUCGGUUUGCAGGCCAGCAUCAGUUUUCCGGGGUGGAUAAUGACGGUUUGAAGGUAGCAGUCUCGGCUGUGUUAUAGCUUUCCGUUGGAUACAUCCUGGGGGACUGAGGAACGCAGCGUGCUUUUUGCGAAAGACUCGUCUUUUUCACGCUUAGGAUGCUGGUGGAAUGGCUUUAAACGACCCGUCUUNNAAACACGG
rnacentral:rRNA from 1 species